rnacentral:tRNA from 1 species
GCUAGUGUGGCAGAAUUGGAAAAUGCAAAAGAUCUAAGCCCUUUCAAAGGAGGUUCAAGUCCUUUCUCUAGCA